GAGUUGCAUCUUUUUGCCUCGGGAGCCUGGCGCAUCGGAGCUUCCCUGCACUCAUCCACGCGGGAUGGUCACCUCCACUCCGGAAUGGGCGUGAGUCGGGCAAAGGGCUCGGUUGGCUGUGCAUAUAAACUGGGCAUGUGCUCUUGGAAAUAAAUUUAUAAAAUCCCCCGAGAAAGUAAAGUGGGGACAGCCGAGAGGGCCCCACACACCUCCUUAUGGACACCCAAGGCUGAGGCAGCUCUGUUUCCAGCCCCUUCCUCACCGGACGCCAGGUUCACCCCAGGCCGUGAGAACCCAGGCCUGAGGCAGCGCAGCCAAAGGCCCCGAUCCGGCCCAGAGCCGUGCCCUGAUUAGGCCCAAAGGAGAAGUCAGGAUCAGGAAGAGCAGAAAACAUCUGAGCAAUGAGACACGUUGGGAAUAAAGCUCCCGCCCACCGCAUGAUAACAGGCAGAGUUCCCAACCUCCAGAGGCACGUGACUUUAAAGACCAUAUCCUCACAAAAUAGGAUCAAGUAAAAGCUGCUCAGUGGUGAAGACGCGGAGCUGGACCAGCCCCGGUGCUGGGUGCAGCAGCCGCUGUGCAGGA
ensembl:lncRNA novel transcript